GUCAGGAAAUCUCAAAGUAAAGUUAUACAUGCAAACUUUCUUCUGCACACUGUAUAUACAUUGAUUGUGUCUCUUUAAAAUGGUUACAUACUGUUUCUCAGUAUUUCAUGCAACUUUUUCUACAUCUGAGAAGUACAUUGUUAACCUGUAGCAUAUCUUAAGUACUAAAGCACUACAGGGAGAAUUAACAAAAACUUAGUGAGGUGCGUGGUAGGAUUUGAAAGCAAGAUCUUAGAAGUGACUGAGGAAAGAAAGAAGUGCAUAAUGGGGGAGACAAGGAUGGACAGAUGUUUCAGUAAAUGUAACAAAAGUUCAGGCAAGGUUGGGUGAGUCCAAUGGUAACAGAAAGCUGUAAAGCCUUCUGGGCAUGUGUUGUGUUGUUCUUGGCUUUGACCUUGUUCAACUAUGGCCAAUUAGAAGUAAUCUUAUACCAUUUCUUGAUAGACAUGAUAGCUGAUCCAAGUGACCCCUCUUUCAUUAAACCUUCCAGGUCUCAUCUUCAGUCAUACUUUGACUGAAUCUAUCUCUCUUGUUUUUACAAUACCAAUACAUUCUGUUGUCUGGAAGACUUCUCUUCUGUUCCCACACUCAGAUCUGAAUUGGAAAACAUCCAGAUUUGGGUACAGAAAGGUGUCUGGAUGUUCUCGUCUGAAGAAAUGUUUUUGUUUUAAAAAUGUUAAUCAAAACAGUUAUAGCUAAUUCACUGAGCGAAAUACACCCCAAUAAAAUGGACAGGAUAUCUUUCAUUUAUUCUCUAUCUUGUAGUGAUAAUACUCCUCACUUUGUUUCAAUCAGCAACAUUGCAAACAGAAUACAUUUCGGCAUCCACCAUCUAACUUUAUUUGCAAUGUUUUUACUGUAAGUAGAACUAAUAGCUUUUCCACUGUGUGUGUGUGCAUGUCAAAUCAGUGUUUUGCAACCUUUUUUUUUUUUUUUUUUUGCAUGACACGAUUAGAAAGUAAAGGCCUACAUGAAAACCUUUUAUGCAGCUCUGACUUCCGCUAUUUAAUUUAGUAGUCACAAUUUAGGGUAUGUUUGGUAUAUGUUUAGGCAACAAAUCCAAGUAUAUCCAAGAAAUAGUUCUUUCUCUCUCUUUCUGAGUUGGGUUAGCAACAUACAUUAGAUGUCAGUUUAUAGAAUUCAUUGGUAAUUUGGCAGCCUUUAUAUUCAAAAAAGGUUUCUCUUUUUAUAGAUCAGUUUAAAGGUGGUAAAUCUGGGUUAAUCCAAACAAAGGGUUGCUUGGAUCCUAAGGAAUUAAUGGAAUUACUGAAAUCCAGGGACUAUGAAAGAGAGGUUAAAGGAUCCAGAGAGAAAGUAAUCCGUGACAAAGAUCUAGAGUUACUGCUGGAUAGAAGUGACCUUAUUGAACUAAUGAAGUAUUAUAACAAAGACUGACUGAGUUUCAAAAG